rnacentral:lncRNA from 1 species
AGUUAUGGAAGAGAUAGAAACCUUGGUUUCUAUGGCAAGCAAUUUUGAAGAAGAUCCAUUGGAGAGAGCCUUAGAUCUUGACCCUUUGGAGGAUGAAGAAGGUGAAGAAAACAUGGCUUUGAUGGAAGCCAAUUUGAGAAAUUUAAUUCAAUCCACACGAUUUGAACUGUUAGAGUUGGAAGUCAGAGAAUUUGUGUAACCC